UCUCUCUCUCACCCGUGUCCGGAAAAUCCCCUUUUCUCUCCUAUCUCCGCAGCCAAACUGCUCACCUAAAACCCUAGCUCGCUCACCCAUGGCGCCGAAGAAGCGGAAGGCGGAUCCGGCGGAGUCCGCGGCCACCGCGUCGGAGAACGCCGCCGCCAACCACCACCAGGAGCCGCCGUCCUCGGAGCUCAAGCCCCGCGGGACCAUCUACUUCCCCAUCACCGACGACCCCCCGGAGCCGAGCGCGGAGGGCGGCGCCGAAGGGGAGGACGGUGCCGGAGGGGAUGACGACGAGGAGGACAUCGCGAAGCUGCUCGAGCCGCUGUCGCGGGAGCAGCUCGUGGCGCUGCUCCGCACGGCCGCGGAGACGAGCCCCGCGACGAUGGCGGCCGUGCGGCGCGCGGCGGAGGCCGACCCCGCGAGCCGGAAGCUCUUCGUCCACGGGCUCGGCUGGGGCGCGGGAGCCGACGACCUCCGCUCCGCGUUCUCCCGCUUCGGUGAACUCGAGGACUGCCGCGUCAUCUCCGACAAGCAAUCUGGCAGAUCCAAGGGCUACGGCUUUGUCCUCUUCCGCUCCCGCCGCUCUGCGCUCCGCGCCCUCCGCCGCCCCCAGCUCCAAAUCGGCGGCCGGCUUGCUUUCUGCCAUCUCGCUGCCUCGGGUCCCGCCCCUCCGACCUCCCAGACCCAGAACCCUAGCUCCAACACCAACGCCAACUCCGGUGCUUCCAAUAACUCUGGUGCCGCAUCUUCGUCGCAACCUGACAACAUGCAACGCAAAAUAUUUGUUGGUAACGUGCAUGCUGAUGUUGAUGUUGACCGCCUCUACGAGUACUUCUCGCAAUUUGGUGAGAUUGAAGAGGGACCAUUGGGAUUUGACAAGACCACCGGCAAGCCUAAGGGGUUUGCGCUGUUCGUCUACAAGUCUGUGGAGAGUGCCCGCCGUGCGCUAGAGGAGCCGAUGAGGAACUUUGAUGGCAAGAUGCUCAAUGUGCAGAAGGCUAUAGAUGGCAGGACGAAGAAUACACCUGGGACGAAUGCAAAUUCUAACCCUAGUGCUACCGCUGCCUCUGCAGCUGCAGCGGCUGCACAGUUGACUGCUCCUGCUCCUGCUGCCAUUACGUAUGAUCCAUCAGCUUAUGGUGCUACUGCUGUUCCUGACUUGGGUUUUGCACAGCAAGCUGCUAUGUUGGGGAUGGGUGCACAGCAGCAGGCGUUUGCACAGCCCAACGCUGCAAUGCUUGCCAUGAUGGCAGCAGCUAUGCAAAACCCAGCUAUGCUCGCAACGCUGAACCCUGCUUUUGCUGCUGCUGCAUUGGGUGCUGGGGGGCAGCAGGUGCACGCUGCUGGCAUUCCAGGUUUUGGAGCUCAGGCUUUUGGUUCACAGGGCUUUGCGGCAGGUACUGCCGCUUUUCCAAAUGCAGCGGGUGUUCAAGCUCCUCCAGGUUUUCAGGGUCCACCCGGGUUCCAGAGUUCAGCUGGGUUUCAGGUUGGCCAGGCAGCUUCCCAAACAGCUACUGCUGCCGCCGCCGCCGCCGCUGCCGGUGCUGCUGGUUAUCAGGCUGGUGCUGCUGGGCAGGGCCAAGUGCCUGGCACGCAGAUUGGUGGUGCUGGAUUUCAGGGUGGAUUUUGACAGCACUAGUAAUGCACAGCUGAUUAAAUCCCCUGAAAGCAACUGCGACCAGUAGACCGCUGGGUGAUAUCAGGCAAAAGAGCUAUUUGCGACAGGAACAUACUACUACAACAUGCGGUAGUAUGGGCUCGAUCUGCCCUUUACUGAAGGACAGACAAAACUAGAGAGGUAGGGACUACUCUCCUAAGUAUAAAAUGUUCCGGACUUGAACGUUUAUCAACUGCUGCUGAAAGUUCUUAUAGCCUGACAGAACAAGGAAUCCUAUUCUCAGAUUGCUCCACUAAUUCGGCCUCCUUUUGUCCAAGCAUCCAGCAUGCAAGUAGCCUGAUACUCUCUGCCUCACGGUUGAAGCUUUCUUAUUGAUGCUAAUCUGCACUUUUAAUUUCUUUCAUGCUGUUCACCUUAUGUCACCAGCUAACCUUGUUGAAAACUGUUAAAACCUUGCUCUCUUCUUUAUCAUUUUCAUGUUCCCUGGGUGGUUUCUGACCUUUCUGUUAAACCAUUGGCUGCAACUUGUUAUGCUGGAAGUACAUUUCGGUGGUUUCCUCGGCUAACCGCAGUCUCAGUCUCAACUCUGAAGUCUGAACCCUCAACUAGUGGAGCGGGCGAAGUUGAGAUGAGACUUUCAGUUUUGUCACCGCGCGGGGAUUUGGUACUGAAACGGGUGGUGCUCCUGAGGGAACAGGUUAAUCCGUCUAUCACCUACUGGAGCUAUGUAUUUCAUCUCAGAAAAGCAUGCUAGUAUUCAAUGUUCUACGCAUUGAAUUCCCCUUCGACUUUCUACGUGUCCUGCUGGGCAGACGUAUAGUGGAGUACUACUAUUAACUGAAGUCAGUACUCUUGCGUGGAGAGGGAUUACACUGACAGUCUGACAGGAGUCAUAGGGCCUGUUUGGGGAAGCUUCUCUCAAAAGCUGUUAAAGCUGUCCUAAAUAGUCCACAGCUUCUGAGAAUCUGUAGCUACAGAUUCUGGAAAAUGCACUAAGAAUCCAGAAGCUGGGUUUAAGAGUUUUUUCAUAUUCUCAUAAGCUGGCUACCAAGUAGCUGCUUUUUAGAAUCUAAAACUUUUCCAAACAGGUCCAUAGCUAAGUUGUUAAUGACGUGUUCAUGACCUUCGCCACUGUGGCCUUGGUUACCAGCAGGAUAUUUGCUUUGCUUUGACGUGUUCAUGACCUCCGUGCAACCCAGUAUGCAUGGGCGUAAAGAACUCACGUUUUUCGUGGCCAAUAUUGAGCAUGGAUUUUAUUAAUAAAUUCCUACUCAAUUUGAUGGUAGUAUUAGCCGGUUAGCCCUCGUUGUUUCUUCUUUCUCUAGACUUAUUAUUUUAAAUACUAGAAAGAUAUAUUUCGUCGUCUUCUUUAUUUACCGAACAGGUUUCCUUGGUAGGCAACUAGUACACCGUCACCUCUAAAGGGCAUAUUCAGGGGGCUGUUUUUGCCAGAAGCUG